GAUGUAUAUGGCAUAUGGAUGGCCACAGGUCAUCCCUAUGGAAUCAGGGUUAUGCCCUUCUUCACAGCAAAUUGUGUACCUCAAAGUCAUUAAUCGCUUAUUGCUUGUUGUUUCUCCUACUCAUCUUGAACUAUGGUCCUCCUCACAGCAUAGAGUGAGAUUGGGCAAGUACAAGAGAAGCUCGGAUUCGAUUCAGAAGGAAGGCGAGAAUUUGCGAGCUGUUUGGAGUCCUGAUACCAAAUUGAUUGUAGUUAUUACCUCUUCCUUCUACCUACACAUUCUGAAGGUCCAAUUUACAGAAAGGAAAAUACAAAUUGGAGGCAAACAACCAACUGGUUUGUUUCUAGCAAGCAUAACUUUGCUCUUGAAUGAACAGGUGCCUUUUGCUAACAGGAACUUGACAAUGAGCAAUGUAGUUUGUGACAGU
rnacentral:misc_RNA from 1 species